rnacentral:lncRNA from 1 species
CAGGCAUGAGCCACUGUGCCUGGCCUAAACCUGGUGAUUCUUGAGGCAUCUCUUUGUUCUCUGUUGCUAAAUUUUUGUGGUAACUGGACAAGAGAAACAGGUAAGGCCUGAGAAGUUUAUGAUGACUAAGAACCCAGACCCUGCAGAUAUGACAUUCUGCAUUUAGUAGCUACCCAGAUCUUCAGAAGCACUAGUUAAAGGUGAAUCUAGAAAUCAUAAUGGAAGAGAGAAACAAUGAAUAUCAUUUAUGACUUCUGACUAGCUAUAGUGCAUGGGCUGUAGUUUGUCUCAUUUACUGUCCUUUUUGUGUUUUUCCAGGGAUUCUAGAGGAGCUGAUUCCAGAACUUAAUACACUCAUGCACCGCAUAAUGACGUUUUGAUAAAUGAUGGGCCGCCUAUACAAUGGUGGUGCCGUAAGAUUAUAGUACUGAAUUUUUACUGUACCUUUUUUUUAAUGUUUAGAUUCACAAAUACCAUUGUGUGACAAUUGACUACAAUAUUCAAUACAAUAACAUGUCGUACAGGUUUGUAGCCCAGGAGCAGUAGACUAUACCAUAUACCCUAGGUGUGUAGUAGGCUAUACAGUCUAGGUUUCCGUAAGUAUGCUCUAUGAUGUUCGUACAAUGAUGAAAUCAUAUAAGGACCCAUUUCUCAGAAUGUAUCCCUGUUGGUAAGGGAUGCAUGACUGUAUAUGAAUCACAAGUAUCUGAAUAGUGCAGGGAGUAGAAUGUUGCAGAUGCCAUUUUAAACCAUCUAUUUCUCUCAUUAGGACUGAAGCUGUUACUCCCCCAACUUCUGGGAGUGUUUUUGGCUGAAAGCUCUCAGUCAGAGCCUUGCUCUGGGAAUUGUCCUCAGCCAAGGAGAGGAAGAGUCAAACUUGACUUUUAAGAAGUGUUGAAGCCCUACAUUCCUUGAAAAAUUAUGCCGAAUAUCACCUGUACCUUUCAUUUUAUGGAUUGCAAAGGAAGUAGUUUACCAUGUGAUGUAAGUUAGAGGAUUGAAGAUUGCCCUUUGACUCUUGUGAUCAAUGAGAAAGUUUGCCGAAGACUUCUCUAUCUGUUCAUCAAGCUGCAGUCACUCAUCAUGAUGUGAGGCCUUUGCGAUUUAGUACUGACCCUUCCUCUAGACACUUCUCUCUCACUUCAUCAAGCUCAUCUCAUGACUGACCUUGGGUAGUAUAGUUUCCAGAGUGCAGUGCACCAGCUGCUGCUGCUUUUCCUGUGGUCCCAUGGGCUGCUUCUCCAGCCCCAGUAUGCACCAAUUUGUCUAGCUGGCAAGUACUAGUCCCUGAAGACUCAAUCCACACAACACUCCCCUGAGAAAGUGAUGCCACCCCAAAUCCAAUAUACACUGUUCCUCUGGGCCUCCCAGAGUGUUCUGCUAACGUUCCCAUGCAUAGCAGGCAACACUGUGUCCUAGUUUGUCUG